CAGGCAUGCUGGAGCCCCGCCAGCGGCGCCUGGGUCGAGCGAAAACCCGACACCGGACGGGGCAGAA
rfam:Pseudaminobacter manganicus strain JH-7 JH-7_scaffold10, whole genome shotgun sequence.